rnacentral:rRNA from 1 species
UCGAGUGGCGAACGGGUGAGUAACGCGUGAGGAACCUGCCUCAAAGAGGGGGACAACAGUUGGAAACGACUGCUAAUACCGCAUAAGCCCACGGCUCGGCAUCGAGCAGAGGGAAAAGGAGCAAUCCGCUUUGAGAUGGCCUCGCGUCCGAUUAGCUAGUUGGUGAGGUAAUGGCCCACCAAGGCGACGAUCGGUAGCCGGACUGAGAGGUUGAACGGCCACAUUGGGACUGAGACACGGCCCAGACUCCUACGGGAGGCAGCAGUGGGGAAUAUUGCACAAUGGGGGAAACCCUGAUGCAG